AAGACGUGGCAGUGAUCAACAAAGACACAAAGCAGAUUGAACCAUGUUGCCAUCUGUCAUAUCCACCAGGAGAAGCUGGCUCUCAUAGACGGUAAAACAAUAUGCCUGUAUUUCUGGCAGUGACAGGCAUAAACAGAACCCGAGAAUGAAACUAACUAAACGGUGCUUCUUGUAGCCUACAUACACAUAACCAGUACACAGGGCAGAUACAAAACAAGGGGUCUCCUGAGAAAACCAUCAAACCAGGCUGUCGUCUUGUGGAUGUAAAGAAUCUAGCUAGCUAAAGCAUUUACUGCAAAAUUGAAUGGACAAUUUUGUAAGUUGGGCUUGCUGAUAUUUUCCAUGCAAUGCAGUUGAAGUAAUGUAGUUAGCUAACUAUUUUCUUGCUUUUUGUGUAGUGGAGGAUAACAAUAAUUGUAUGCCUAUGGAUGUGUAGCUAGCUAUGUAGCCGAUCUGUGUAUGGAACCUAAAAUGUUUGGUAUAAAUAUUAGUUCAGAACAGUGUUUUUAAUUGCUUCCACCAGUUAAUCAUUAAUCCCCAAUAAAUAUGCACAUGAUUGUUAAAUGUCAAUAGUACAAUGUCAAUAUUAAAUAGCUAGCUAUGAACCUCAGCUAUCAUAGCUGGUUGUAUUGACUUCAAGAUACUCUGAAAAGCAUAACAUUAUUUUAUUUACCUUUAUUUAACUAGGCAAGUCAGUUAAGAACAAAUUCUUAUUUUCAAUGACAGCCUAGGAACAGUGGGUUAACUGCCUGUUCAGGGGCAGAAUGACAGAUUUGUACCUUGUCAGCUCAGGGGUUUGAACUUGCAACCUUCCGGUUACUAGUCCAACGCUCUAACCACUAGACUACCCUAUUGAUUGAGUAAAAUGUAAUAACUUUGUGCCAAGGAUGCAAGUUGUACUGUAAAUACAUGUAGUUAUUACCAAGCAUGAGUUUCUGACAUUGUAGCCUGUACAUUGAAUAUAUUCACUGAUCAUGUACUCUACCUUGGCAAAUAAAGGUACGGGUCAUGUA